UACGUAGGGGGCGAGCGUUGUCCGGAGUUACUGGGCGUAAAGCGCACGCAGGCGGUCUGCUAAGUUUGGAGUGACAGUUGGUGGCUUAACUGCCAAAGUGCUUCGAAAACUGACAGACUUGGGGGCUUCAGAGGGACACGGAAUUCCGGGUGGAGUGGUGAAAUUCGUAGAUAUUCGCAAGAACACCAGUGGCGAAGGCGGCCAACUGGACCAAUACUGACGCUGAGGCGCGAAAGCGUGGGGAGCAAACAGG
rnacentral:rRNA from 1 species